rnacentral:lncRNA from 1 species
AAGAUUUCUCUUGGCUAUUUACAAAUUACAUUUAAAACGUUCGCAAAAAUAUACAAUUAAAAUUAUUUACAACUGGUUUUCCUACUUCCUUUCAGAGCAUGCUUCAGGGCAGCUCUGAAUCCCUCAACGGUGUUGGUCGCUGUAACUGUUGUUGGUAGGUUGUUCCAGUCCCUGAUUGUCCUCGGGAAGAAAGAUUGGCCGUAGGUGUCUGUACUUGUUCUUUCUUGGAAGAAGCGGUUUUUACCUCUGGUCCGGUUAUCAUUCGGGGUCAAAUAUUGGUG